rnacentral:rRNA from 1 species
UAGUCAUAUGCUUGUCUCAAAGAUUAAGCCAUGCAUGUCUAAGUAUAAGUGAUUAUACUGCGAAACUGCGGAUGGCUCAUUAUAUCAGUUACAAUCUACUCGAUUGAAACUUUACUUGGAUAACUGUAGGAAUUCUAGAGCUAAUACAUGCGAAAAAUUCGGACCGGGGGCAACUCUGGGAAGAAUGCGUUUACUAGUCGAGAAGCCAAGAUGGGGCAUUCAACUUCGGGUCAAACCGAGGGUUCCAUAAAAAAGAUGAAUCAUAGUAAGUUUCACGCGAAUCGAGGGCUUAGGCCUUUGAUGAUGCAAACGAGUUUCUGCCCUAUCAACUUUCAACCGCAGUGUAGGGGACUACGAUGGUUGUAACGGGUACGGGGAAUUAGGGUUCGAUUCCGGAGAGGCAGCCUGAGAAACGGCUACCACUUCCAAGGAAGGCAGCAGGCGCGUAAAUUAUCCAAUCCCAAUUCGGGGAGAUAGUGACAAGAAAUACUGAUGUAGGGCCUUUUGGGUUCUACUAUCGGAAUGAGUACAAUUUAAAACCAUUAGCGAGGAACAAUU